rnacentral:lncRNA from 1 species
UUGGAGGUGGCUGGUGCAAAGGGUUCCCAUCACACCUAAGUGACGUUCCCUGACAGCAGGGACAGGACAAACCUUCCAGGUCAGAUGUUUCUUUCAGAAUUUCUGGAAGGAGCUGCCCAGCUAAGCAGAAGCUGUGCUCAGUGUUUGAGCUGUGCCUGAGGCUGGGUUAUAGAGCAUCUCCUCCGUUGGAUGUCCUGCAGCUGAGGCCAAAGCCGUGCACUUCCCAGCGGGAAGCAGAUCUGUGCUGCACCCUUAGCAGAGGUGGAGAAAUCCUGGGCAGCAGCUCAUGACCAGGAGCAGCAUUUUCAAGAGAAAAAGGGGGCAGCCCAUAACUGAGACAGUUUAAAAGAAGAAAACCUAGAGGUGAACAGAGAGGUGGGGACUUCACACCAAGAAUGCUCUGCCUUCAAACACCUGGUUUCGCUGGACUCAUCUCACAUCUUCGAAUGGUUAAGAUGGAAAAUGAGGAGGGAGAUUGCACAUCUACAAGGUGAUGAGUGGAGAAGCAAGUUUGCUACUUCAGUGAAUACCAACAGCAAAUUUCCUUCACAGGAAAUUUCCUUCCUACAUUUAAGGACUACUACUUGUGGAUCUGUGAAGUACUGAGCAAAGUGUCUGGGAAAUCAAGGUGGGGCUCUCAGAGGCUCUGGGGUGAGUGCACAGUGUUUAUCUUCAUCGGUGCAGUGCUGGUGGCACAGAGGUCUCAGCCUGGCACGUGCAAGCCUGAGCUGUUCCAGUGCCUGCACUGGGUUCUGUGGGAAGCCCAGUAAGUGCUUCUAGGGUCUGAUUCCUCAGCUGCUGGUUAUGUGCUUUACUGCACAGGUAACAGCUGUAUUACCAGGAUUCAACUCAAUCAUUUAGCAUCUUGAAUGUUCCUUGUUUAGAGAUGAAAUCCAAAGCUCACAGGAUGUCAGAAAUAACAGUGUUACCUAGAUGUACGUGUGAUCCAGGGAGCAGCCUUGUUUCUAAAGUAAGAGGGAAAGGAAGAGUUUGAAUCAAUAACAUUUCCCCUUACAAACCAGAUUAAGUGUGUAGAGUCUUCAAGGAGAAGCAAAAUAGCAAAUUAUUCCCAUGUUGGCCCACUUCUGGACUGAGUUCUCCUUCAGUCCUUUAUGAAGGUUACUAUGGAAUUUGCACUGGCAAUUCCAUAAGGAUAGCUGAUAGAAUAGCCU